UAUCGUCAGAGUCAAUCAAAAACCUAAUUAAACUACGUAGAUAGCGUAAGUAGGGUAUCGUAUCCACGGGGAAUAUGUGGUUAGUGUUUAACUAGAGAAUUAUUAUAUAUUAAAGGAAAGCAACUCCCACCCAGAAUCCCGAUUGCAAGUUUAACACAAAAACCCGUUUACAGAUUCAUAACACCACAUAGACAUGGCCUCGGAAUUAAUGAAUUUGAUUAAUUAUUAGGGAUAGCUUUUAAGAUUCACCAUACAACCUAAUAAUCCAUUUAUUUAUAUCAACUACCCACCAAUUUACCAACCCGCUAACGAUGCAAGUAUAUCGCCAAUACGCUUGAUAAACGACAAAUAAUUCAAAUAUAAAAAACGUUUACCAAGAAUUCAACACAAGUGGUCAAGCUUUACCAGUUAAAAAGAAUCCGUGAACAAAGUUUAAUGAAAAACAAAGUAAUCGUUCAUCCGGGCAGAAGCCACAAGCAAAAAGAUAAAGGUAACGUCCUCCAAGUUUCAGAUUCUAGGUUCACACCAAACUUAAUUUAAUCAUUAAUUGGACACCACAUAGACAUGGUGCUGAAAAGUCGGUUAAUUUAAGUGGUAAUCAAAAAUAGGUCUUUGUCAUCAGAUCUUUUACAGUUCAAUUACCCUAUUUACUAGUGUGAGUCAACCUACUCUAUGUCACCCAACGAGCUACAAAGUUUUGUCAUCAACCGAGCAAGUUGUAAAAAAAACACUAAGCGCACUAAUUCCCCGGCAACGGCGCCAUUUUGAUGACUAUCGUCAGAGUCAAUCAAAAACCUAAUUAAACUACGUAGAUAGCGUAAGUAGGGUAUCGUAUCCACGGGGAAUAUGUGGUUAGUGUUUAACUAGAGAAUUAUUAUAUAUUAAAGGAAAGCAACUCCCACCCAGAAUCCCGAUUGCAAGUUUAACACAAAAACCCGUUUACAGAUUCAUAACACCACAUAGACAUGGCCUCGGAAUUAAUGAAUUUGAUUAAUUAUUAGGGAUAGCUUUUAAGAUUCACCAUACAACCUAAUAAUCCAUUUAUUUAUAUCAACUACCCACCAAUUUACCAACCCGCUAACGAUGCAAGUAUAUCGCCAAUACGCUUGAUAAACGACAAAUAAUUCAAAUAUAAAAAACGUUUACCAAGAAUUCAACACAAGUGGUCAAGCUUUACCAGUUAAAAAGAAUCCGUGAACAAAGUUUAAUGAAAAACAAAGUAAUCGUUCAUCCGGGCAGAAGCCACAAGCAAAAAGAUAAAGGUAACGUCCUCCAAGUUUCAGAUUCUAGGUUCACACCAAACUUAAUUUAAUCAUUAAUUGGACACCACAUAGACAUGGUGCUGAAAAGUCGGUUAAUUUAAGUGGUAAUCAAAAAUAGGUCUUUGUCAUCAGAUCUUUUACAGUUCAAUUACCCUAUUUACUAGUGUGAGUCAACCUACUCUAUGUCACCCAACGAGCUACAAAGUUUUGUCAUCAACCGAGCAAGUUGUAAAGUAAGAGCUCAAAACACAUAAAAAUAGUUCAAAGAAACCAACACAUCAAAUUGUUUACAACGUUGUCAAUGUCAAAAACAAAUCCAAUAAUGCAUAAAACUAAGAAAAGUAAUAAACCCUACAAACCGUUCACUUGGAGAAAGCCACCUAAUCGAUCAUGCCUUGAACCGUGUACAGCCGCCCGAAG
rnacentral:lncRNA from 1 species